GCCCAUGUUUCUCUCUGGAAUUGAAGUCACAAGAUGGAAAAUUAUUCAUAAUUGCAAUCAUAACAUACCAUACAAUAGAGAGUUUCCUGCCAAGGAAACUUUGAUUUCAAAGACCUUACGCAAGUCGCAUGUAGUCGUGACUAUUUUUUUUUUGCAAGAAGCUCCUGCCAGCCUUCAAACUCAACACAACCCAGGUGAUAUCCACAUCAUGGGUACUACCAAGAUUUUCCUGCUCCUUCUCUCAGUGGCCCUGUUGGCCCUGAGCUCAGCUCAAGGAACACCCAAGGAAGCCCCAAGACAGCAACCUGCUGAACCUGAACCAGCCCCAAGGCAACAAACUAGGAAAAGUAAAGACGCAGAAGAGCCAGGCGACCCACCUGAAGGAGAACCAGGCGAACCACCUGAAGGAGAACCAGGUCCACCACCUGAAGGAGAACCAGGCGAACCACCUGAAGGAGAACCAGGUCCACCACCUGAAGGAGAACCAGGUGCACCACCUGAAGGAGAACCAGGUGCACCACCUGAAGGAGAACCAGGUGCACCACCUGAAGGAGAACCAGGUGCACCACCUGAAGGAGAACCAGGUGCACCACCUGAAGGAGAACCAGGUGCACCACCUGAAGGAAGAAGCUAUCUCAGACCUAGCCACAAGCCUACUCAUGCCAAUAUCUUCAAGGAGAGAAGAGAAGAAGAAAUAGGAGAACCAGGUGCACCACCUGAAGGUAAGUAGUAUGUCUAUCUCUAAACACUCCUUUCUUUCCCCGUUCCUUGAGGACCCUAGACCUUGUUCUCAUUUGAAACCAUUUGGCACAUCCACUCUUAAAGUUCAGUACCAAGAAAGAGAGGGUAAUAAUGAACUAGGAGGGUGGUCAGGUUAAAAGGCUUUGUUUUCUCUUGCCAUUGCAUAGCUCACAUAUUUCCACCAGAGAUUUUCCCAGAUCAAAAAUCCAAAAUGAUUUUCUCAUCUUUUCCUAAAGCAUAGUUUGCUUUUUUCCAUUGCCUAAUACCCUAGAUCAAAGAUUUCAAGAUCACUUUGUAAUAUUUAAUGCAAUGUUCUCUUCAUGUCUCUGCAGUGUGGGUAUUUCUCUCUCUCUUUCUCUGUGUUUUCACAGUCCCUCUGUGUCUGGUCUUUCUCUGAAUUGAUAUCUUUAUCUCUCUGUCUCUGUCUUGCUUUUUCUCUGCCUUUGUCUCUCCCUCUGUCUCUCUCUCUUUCACACACACACACACACACACACACACACACACACACACACAUGCACACACACAUUUUCUCUGUA
rnacentral:lncRNA from 1 species